UUGGAUUUGAAAGUUCAGGCGGUUAUGGAUGGGCAUGCGUUGUAUUAGCUAGAUGGUGAGGUAACGGCUCACCAUGGCUACGAUACAUAGGGGGACUGAGAGGUUAACCCCCCACACUGGUACUGAGACACGGACCAGACUCCUACGGGAGGCAGCAGUGAGGAAUAUUGGUCAAUGGACGCAAGUCUGAACCAGCCAUGCCGCGUGCAGGAUGACGGCUCUAUGAGUUGUAAACUGCUUUUGUACAAGGGUAAACCCCGAUACGUGUAUCGGGCUGAAAGUACUGUACGAAUAAGGAUCGGCUAACUCCGUGCCAGCAGCCGCGGUAAUACGGAGGAUCCAAGCGUUAUCCGGAUUUAUUGGGUUUAAAGGGUGCGUAGGCGGAAUAGUAAGUUAGAGGUGAAAGCUCGGGGCUCAACUCCGGAACUGCCUCUGAUACUGCUAAUCUAGAGAGUAGAUGCGGUAGGCGGAAUGUAUGGUGUAGCGGUGAAAUGCUUAGAGAUCAUACAGAACACCGAUUGCGAAGGCAGCUUACCAAACUAUAUCUGACGUUGAGGCACGAAAGCGUGGGGAGCAAACAGGCUUAGAUACCCUGGUAGUCCACGCAGUAAACGAUGAUAGCUCGUUAUCGGCGAUACACAGUCGGUGACUUAGAGAAAUCGAUAAGCUAUCCACCUGGGGAGUACGUUCGCAAGAAUGAAACUCAAAGGAAUUGACGGGGGCCCGCACAAGCGGAGGAACAUGUGGUUUAAUUCGAUGAUACGCGAGGAACCUUACCCGGGCUUGAAAGUUAGUGACGGACUUGGAAACAGGUCUUCCCUUCGGGGCACGAAACUAGGUGCUGCAUGGUUGUCGUCAGCUCGUGCCGUGAGGUGUCGGGUUAAGUCCCAUAACGAGCGCAACCCCUGCUGAUAGUUGCCAUCAGGUUAAGCUGGGCACUCUAUCGGGACUGCCUCUGUAAGGAGGAGGAGGGUGGGGAUGACGUCAAAUCAGCACGGCCCUUACGUCCGGGGCGACACACGUGUUACAAUGGUAGGUACAGAGGGCAGCCACCCAGCGAAGGGGA
rnacentral:rRNA from 1 species